rfam:Triticum urartu cultivar G1812 contig822490, whole genome shotgun sequence.
CUUGUACUCCCUCCGUCCAAAAAUACUUGUCAUUGAAAUGGAUGUAUCUAGAUGUAUUUUAGUUCUAGACACAUCCAUUUUGAUGACAAGUAAUUUCGGACGGAGGGAGUACUUG